CUAUACAUGCAGUCGAGCGGACAGAUGGGAGCUUGCUCCCUGAUGUUAGCGGCGGACGGGUGAGUAACACGUGGGUAACCUGCCUGUAAGACUGGGAUAACUCCGGGAAACCGGGGCUAAUACCGGAUGGUUGUUUGAACCGCAGGUUCAAACAUAAAAGGUGGCUUCGGCUACCACUUACAGAUGGACCCGCGGCGCAUAGCUAGUUGGUGAGGUAACGGCUCACCAAGGCAACGAUGCGUAGCCCACCUGAGAGGGUGAUCGGCCACACUGGGACUGAGACACGGCCCAGACUCCUACGGGAGGCAGCAGUAGGGAAUCUUCCGCAAUGGACGAAAGUCUGACGGAGCAACGCCGCGUGAGUGAUGAAGGUUUUCGGAUCGUAAAGCUCUGUUGUUAGGGAAGAACAAGUACCGUUCGAAUAGGGCGGUACCUUGACGGUACCUAACCAGAAAGCCACGGCUAACUACGUGCCAGCAGCCGCGAUAAUACGUAGGUGGCAAGCGUUGUCCGGAAUUAUUGGGCGUAAAGGGCUCGCAGGCGGUUUCUUAAGUCUGAUGUGAAAGCCCCCGGCUCAACCGGGGAGGGUCAUUGGAAACUGGGGAACUUGAGUGCAGAAGAGGAGAGUGGAAUUCCACGUGUAGCGGUGAAAUGCGUAGAGAUGUGGAGGAACACCAGUGGCGAAGGCGACUCUCUGGUCUGUA
rnacentral:rRNA from 2 species